rnacentral:rRNA from 1 species
UACGGGGGGGGCAAGCGUUGUUCGGAAUUACUGGGCGUAAAGAGCGCGCAGGCGGCCGAGUAAGUCGAAUGUGAAAGCCCCCGGCUCAACUGGGGAAGGUCAUUCGAUACUGUUCGGCUUGAAGAUAGGAGAGGGAAGCGGAAUUUCAGGUGUAGUGGUGAAAUGCGUAGAUAUCAAGAGGAACACCUGAGGUGAAGACGGGUUGCUGGGCUGAUACUGACGCUGAGGCGCGAAAGCUAGGGUAGCAAACGGG